UUUUUUUGGUUGUUUAUGCAUAUAAAAUUUUGAAUUUUAAGGAGUAUUACCUAGUAUAAGAAAAA
rnacentral:tRNA from 1 species